CAGGUGUCUGUCUGUUGGUGUUGUUUAUCCUCCAGGUGUCUGUCUGUUGGUGUUGUUUAUCCUCCAGGUGUCUGUCUGUUGGUGUUGUUUAUCCUCCAGGUCUCUGUCUGUCUGUUGGUGUUGUUUAUCCUCCAGGUCUCUGUCUGUCUGUUGGUGUUGUUUAUCCUCCAGGUCUCUGUCUGUCUGUUGGUGUUGUUUAUCCUCCAGGUCUCUGUCUGUCUGUUGGUGUUGUUUAUCCUCCAGGUCUCUGUCUGUCUGUUGGUGUUGUUUAUCCUCCAGGUCUCUGUCUGUUGGUGUUGUUUAUCCUCCAGGUCUCUGUCUGUUGGUGUUGUUUAUCCUCCAGGUCUCUGUCUGUUGGUGUUGUUUAUCCUCCAGGUGUCUGUCUGUUGGUGUUGUUUAUCCUCCAGGUGUCUGUCUG
rnacentral:lncRNA from 1 species